CUUCUCAGAGCUUGCUUUUACACAUUGCCAGUGGAGGCCGAGUCACCUUUGGUCUGGAGCUAACUUGGCUGUACCGCAGCCUGUGUCCGUAGGAGUCUCUGCCUUCUGGCUGUCAGGAAUCCGAGCUAUUCCCAGUGAUGAUUUUCCAUAGCUCAUUAUCUGGACUUCAGUUUCUGUACAAUGCACAUGCUGAUACGGUCUCAGCUGAUCACCGGAGCAAGAGAAGGCCCAGGAGGCAGUGACCGAGGAUGACUCUGAAGUACCGCUACUGCUACCCCCACUUCCCAAAUGCUGGAAUUACUGGCCUGUGCCACCGCGCUGAGUUGUAUGCAGUGCUGGGGGCUUGAACCUCGAGCUUAGUGCACUCUACCAGCUGAGAUACAUCCCUGGCCACAGAGCAGAGCUUUUAAAAUCAAAAGACUCAGAUUCAAAUUCUGACUGAGCCACAAACCAGUUCUGUGAUCCACUUCAACAUGUUUUCUUGAAUAUUUUUUUACAUGCAUGUAUUUAUUUGUGUGCUUGAGUGUGUGUACUCAUGGAAAUCAGAAGGCAGCUAGCUUAUAGGAGUCGGUUUUCUUAUAGGAGUGGGAAUGAAGGUUAGUGGCAAACACCGUUCAUCCCUUCUGCAUCCUACCUCAGGUUUUUAACUUGACUCUAAAGUGGGGGCUCUUUCUAUGACUUGGAUAAAUAAAGUAUCUUUUACAAAGCAC
ensembl:lincRNA Gm15498 predicted gene 15498